UACCAAGAUAUUUCCAAGACAACCACUGG
rnacentral:piRNA from 1 species